UGAUGAUGAUGUGGACAAUCCCUAAGAAGAGACUUGAAUCUCCCCCAAGCAUGAUAAAGGUUCUCAUCUAGCUUCUGUUUGAAGCUUAAAACCUCACUACAUAAUUU